UACGGAGGUGGCAAGCGUUGCUCGGAAUCACUGGGCGUAAAGGGCGCGUAGGCGGGGAGGUAAGUCGGGUGUGAAAUCCCUCGGCCCAACUGAGGAACUGCGCCCGAAACUGCUUCUCUUGAGUCCCGGAGAGGAAGGUGGAAUUCCCGGUGUAGCGGUGAAAUGUGUAGAGAUCGGGAGGAACACCGGUGGCGAAGGCGGCCUUCUGGACGGUGACUGACGCUGAGGCGCGAAAGCGUGGGGAGCAAACGGG
rnacentral:rRNA from 1 species